AGAGUUUGAUCCUGGCUCAGGACGAACGCUGGCGGCGCGCUUAACACAUGCAAGUCGAGCGAGAACCAGCCCUUCGGGGCUGGGGACAGCGGCGAACGGGUGAGUAACACGUGAGUAAUCCACCCUCGGCAUCGGGAUGGCCCGGGGAAACCCGGAUUAAUACCGAAUGGCCCAUUUGUCCUUCGGGAAUAAAUGGAAAAGGUAGCUUCGGCCUCUGGCCGGGGACGAGCUCGCGGCGGAUUAGCUUGUUGGUGGGGUAACGGCCCACCAAGGCGACGAUCCGUAGCUGGUCUGAGAGGACGAUCAGCCACACUGGGACUGAGACACGGCCCAGACUCCUACGGGAGGCAGCAGUGGGGAAUCUUGCGCAAUGGGCGAAAGCCUGACGCAGCGACGCCGCGUGAGGGAAGAAGGCCUUCGGGUUGUAAACCUCUUUCAGGAGGGACGAAGCCACUCGGGUGAAUAGCCCAGAGGGUGACGGUACCUCCAGAAGAAGCCCCGGCUAACUACGUGCCAGCCGCCGCGGUAAUAC
rnacentral:rRNA from 1 species